AGUCAUAUGCUUGUCUCAAAGAUUAAGCCAUGCAUGUCUCAGUACAAGCCAAAUUAAGGUGAAACCGCGAAAGGCUCAUUAAAUCAGUUAUGGUUCCUUAGAUCGUACACACAAUUACUUGGAUAACUGUGGUAAUUCUAGAGCUAAUACAUGCUAACAGAGCUCUGACCGGAGACGGAAAGAGUGCUUUUAUUAGAUCAAAACCAAUCGGUGGCGGGCUUGCUCGUCAUCGUACCAUUUGGUGACUCUGAAUAACUUUUGCUGAUCGCACGGUCUCGUACCGGCGACGCAUCUUUCAAAUGUCUGCCUUAUCAACUGUCGAUGGUAGGUUCUGCGCCUACCAUGGUUGUAACGGGUAACGGGGAAUCAGGGUUCGAUUCCGGAGAGGGAGCCUGAGAAACGGCUACCACAUCCAAGGAAGGCAGCAGGCGCGCAAAUUACCCACUCCCGGCACGGGGAGGUAGUGACGAAAAAUAACGAUACGGGACUCAUCCGAGGCCCCGUAAUCGGAAUGAGUACACUCUAAACCCUUUAACAAGGAACAAUUGGAGGGCAAGUCUGGUGCCAGCAGCCGCGGUAAUUCCAGCUCCAAUAGCGUAU
rnacentral:rRNA from 1 species